UGUUGAAAACACCAGUUCUCGUUCGAUCAUCGAAGUUAAACAGCGCUGAUCCCGGUUUAUACUUAGAUGGUGGACCGCUUGUGAACACCAGGU